AAUGAACGCUGGCGGCAGGCCUAACACAUGCAGGUCGAACGGAUCCUUCGGGAUUAGUGGCGGACGGGUGAGUAACGCGUGGGAACAUACCCAAAGGUACGGAAUAGCCGCGGGAGACUGGGAGUAAUACCGUAUGUGGUCGAGAGACGAAAGAUUUAUCGACAAAGGAUUGGCCCGCGUUGGAUUAGGUAGUUGGUGGGGUAAUGGCCUACCAAGCCGACGAUCCAUAGCUGGUUUGCGAGGAGGAUCAGCCACACUGGGACAGAGACACGGCCCAAACGCCUACGGGAGGCAGCAGUGGGGGAUCUUAGACAAUGGGGGAAACCCUUAUCUAGCCAUGCCGCGUGAUCGAUGAAGGCCUUAGGGUUGUAAAGAUCUUUCAGGUGGGAAGAUAAUGACUGUACCACCAGAAGAAGCCCCGGCUAACUCCGUGCCAGCCGCCGCCGUAA
rnacentral:rRNA from 1 species